AUCACCUGUCAGGUGUCUCGGUCAAACCUGUAAGACUUGACGGACUCGCCUGUUCCAGCAGCAAUUUCAGCUGGUGAAGAGCGAGCGUCAAGUCAACACAGAGCGAAGAGAUUUGAAACGACAGAGUCUCUUCUGAAAGCAAAGGGAUCUUUCCGUUGGUCUUGCUGCUGAAUACCAAGUCAUGGGCCACAGCGAUGGUGAGGGCAGGGCCAAAAUGAGUCACAACGAGUAUCCGGAUCCCCCCCCACCUUAUCAGGGUCUGCCCCAAGCGUACAUGUAUCAGCCCCAAGUGGUACAGGUUCCACCUCAAAUGGUACAGGUUCCACCCCAAAUGGUACAGGUUCCACCCCAAAUGGUACAGGUUCCACCCCAAAUGGUACAGGUUCCACCCCAAAUGGUACAGGUUCCACCGCAAGUGUAUCAGAGCACACCCCAAGUGUAUCAGCCUCAAGUGUAUCAGAGCCAGCCUCAAGCGUACCAGAGCCAGCCUGAAGUGCACCAGAGCCAGCCUCAGAGGCACCAGGACAGCAAGACUAGGACCUCUGAGAGAAAAAGCAAGUGCCCAAAAUGUUGCUUGAAGACUCGCGAUUGCCUGAUGAGCGCCGAGUGCGGCAGAGCACUCCAAAUCUCCAGCGUGGUUGCCUCCUGCGCAUUGUGCCUGCGUUUUUUAAUUUAAUCUCCAAUCAGAAACAGAUUACUUGGCCAGGCUGACUCCCAGUGCCGUCCAACAUCCUGCCAGGAAGACAUCUUGUGCUUUUCUUCUCAUCUGGGAAAAAUGAGGGUGAAAAAAAACAUCAAUUGAACUCCAAACACGGUUAUCUGUGAAUACAUGCUAGCUCGCACCUUAAGGAAUGAAUGACGCUUGUGUUGUGUGUUUAAAGCAAAGGUUCUUCAGAAUGUAUAAUUGUUUUACUGUCUUAAAGAUGUGAGAUGAUGUUAUCAUGAGCUGUGGAUUAUACUAAAGAAUUAAAAAUAAGACAUUUGGUGAACUUGUGUAUCAACUGAAAUUGAAAAUGGAAAUGACCUGUUUUACACUUUAGAAGGGAGAGGCUCCCAGUAAAAAUGAGUGCCAUUGGUCCGCGGCCUUCAUUAAUACCGACUCCCCAUGCACACAAACGGGCCAGCUCUAUAGUGGGGCAAGAGGGGGAGGGCAACGCCCCCCUUUACCCUACCAAAUCAAAAUUUUACAAAAUUUUCCACGGCUCCUAACCCCCUAUCGUCGCACCAUGGACCAAGCAUACACGGUACACAAGAGAAAGAGGAACUUGGUGAUCUUGGCCCAAGGGAAGUUGUGAGCAUUUUUACAAAGCGAAACAGGAGACUUUUGUUGUAGAGUGGAGUUAUGCGGAGAGUGAAGUGGAGAAAGAACAGGGAGGUGGAGAGGAAGGAGAUUUGCGUUAUGUUACCAAUAAAUACAUGAAAAAUUAAUAUCAAAAAGAAGAAAAAGAAGAAAGCUGCAAAAUGUUCUGCUUUGUGUCUGUUGUGCAACUUGUGUUGUAUAACUGUUCAUAAUAAGAGUUAUAAAAUGUUGGUUUGGAUUUUUUUUUCUCAUAAGACUACCUUUCAGUUUUGUAAAUAUUUAUUAUAGUGAACUCUCACGUUAUUUGACGGCUAGCCCAUCCAGUUAAGAUCAAUGCUAGUUGUUGGUUGUUAAAAUCUCAAGAUAUUUGAUUUUACUUUUUAUUUUUCAGUUUCCGUCCUGAAGGAAUAACCGGGUGCUCCGGUUUCCUCCCACAUUCCAAAAACAUGCAUGUUAGCUUCAUUGGAGACUCUAAAUGGUCCAUAGGUAUGAAUGUGUUUGUCUAUAUGUGCCCUGCCAUUGGCUGGCCACCAGUCCAGGGUGUACCCCAUCUCUCGCCCAAAGUCAGCUGGGAUAGACUCCAGCAUACCCGCGACCCUAGUGAGGAUAAGUGGCAUAGAAGAUGGAUGGAUCGAUGGAUGUCCCCAGCUGUUAUGUUUGAGAAGUUUUCUUCUGCGGUGCACCUUAAUGGAAUUUUACUGCCCCCUGUUGGUGCCCCUUAUAAUAGAAUGACAACUGAAUAUACGUCUCGUCAUUAAAUUUCAGCAAAUAAUCUAUGAAUUCAAGACUUCCCUCUCCCCAAAUACUUUAUCCAGCUCAUCCCAGCCGUUCCCAGGCCAGGUGGGAGACAUAUUCUGUCUAACAUGCAACAUGUCCUGGCUUUUCCCCAAGGACUCCUACCGGUCGGAAGUGCCCUGAAAACCUCCCCAGGGAGGUGUCUGGGCGGCAUCCUCACCAGAUGCCCGAGCCACCUCAUCUGGGAAGUAGCAGUGGUUCUACUCCCAGUUUCUCCCGGAUGACAGAGCUUCUCACCUAAUCUCUGAGCCCAGCAACCCUAUGGAGAAAACUCAUUUCGGCCACUUGUACCUGAAGAAAGGGGAGACACUUGGCCUGCCGCUGGCCAUCAGCUGCCUUUGGAGUACCACACCGACUUCUUCAGCUCGAUGGAAUCCACCAACGGGUUCUGGGAUAAUCUCCACGAAAGGGAACCAACCACUCCAUGGCUACAGCUGUCUCGACAAUGGAGGCACGGAACUUGGCCUACUCAAUGUCCACUGCCUUCCUCGGGGCAGCACUCCCGGAGAUGGGAGUUGAAACUCCUUCAGACAGGAGGCUCAGUCAGACCCUCAGAAUAUGUUUGGGUCUGUCAGGUCUGACCUGCAUCCUCCCCCACCAUCGGAGCCAACUCACCACCAGGUGGUGUUCAGUUGAUAGCUCCGCCCGUCUCGUCACCCCAAUUCCAUCAACAAUUCCAAUUAGUUGUUCCCCUAAAAUCAACGUUCAGUUCCUAUUGAAAGACAGCGUCCAAUCAAUCAUAACAAUUAAUCACGGGAUUAAUAAUUCAGCCUGCGUUUAUGUGUUAAAGCCUGAUUGCAUUUUCCCCAGCACUUGUUGCCGUGUGCGACCCGCUAAUGACUUAGCUGCUGAAUUUAUGCAGACGAGUCAUAAAAAUAGACAAAAUGAAAAGUUCAGUAGGGUUCUUGCUUGGGACCACAAUGAGUGGAAGAUUGAGUGUCUUGUCUAGUGUGCGUGACGAGACUGUAAUUUCUUAUUUCAUUGGUCAGUGGGGCUGUGUAUGAGUGCACCCACCCUGCAAACUCUGCCUAGCAACAAUUAAGUGGCCAAUGAGACCCAGAAACGGCAACGCUUGAGAUUCCAUUCAUCUAUUCUGUUGCUGCAGAUGUGAGUAAGCAGACACUUGAAUUGUGUCAUGAAAUUUUAUAGCACAUACAGUGAAAAAAAAUCAUUAUACACAACAAUGAAGUUUUAAGAAUGUCAAAGGACAUUCAAAAGCCAUCAUUUCAUCAGAAUAAAGUUGUAUUUUUUUAAGAAUAUACACACAUUUUUAAAAAUCAUACUAUGUUUUUUUUCUUAAAACAAAGUUGUAUUAGUACUGGAAAAAAUGUUAUAAUCUCACAAGAAUAAAGUUGUAUUUCCUAAGGAAGUUUUUUUUUUCUUUCAGGAAAGAACAUAAAAACAAAAUUAAAGAAAAAAAUAAGUCACAUAAAGAAAGCACGUCAAUGGGGUAAUUUAUUUAAUUAAUUACAUGCAUAUUUCUUGUGUAAUUAACACAUACGCAUCAUGGCAAGCCACAACUCUCGGUUAUGACGACAGACGGCGUCACAAUGCAGCUCCCCACAGAGUCUUUUAUGACGUUAUUCUGACCUGAACACAUCAACAGCAGUGCAAUUCCAACAACAUACAUACAGUGGUGUGAAAAAGUGUUUGCUCCCUUCCUGUUUUGUUAUUUUUUUUGCAUGUUUGUCACACUUGUUUGUGUUUGAGAUCAUCAAACAAAUGUAAAUAUUAGUCAUUGACAACACAACUGAACAUAAAAUGCAGUUUUUAAAUAAAACGUUUUAUUAUUAAGGGAUAAAAAAAUCCAAAGCUACAUGUCCCUGUGUGAAAAAGGGAUUGCCCCCUAAAGCUAAUAAGUGUUGGCCCCCCUUAGCAGCAACAACUGCAAUCAAGCGUUUGUGAUAACUUGCAAUGAGUUUCUUACAGCGCUGGGGAGGAAUUUUGGCCUUCUCUUCUUUGCAGAAUUGUUGUCAUUCAGUCACAUUGGAGGCUUUUCCAGCAUGAAGCGCCUUUUUAAGGUCAUGCCACAGCAUCUCAAUAGGAUUCAGGUCAGGACUUGGACUAGGCCACUCCGAAGUCUUCAGCCAUUCAGUGGUGGACUUGCUGGUGUGUUUUGGAUCAUUGUCCUGCAGUAUAACCCAAGUUGGUUUCAGCUUGAGGUCAACAACUGUUGGAACUGGACUUGAAUUAACCAGCAAUAUAAUUAUCACUCAUACAGGUAUAUCGUAGUAGUGUUAAAGUGUGUUUGCCCUUUAGAAUUGUCUGUCAUUUUGUCUGUUGACUCCAAGGCUGCAGUCGCAGAUUAACCGAUGUCCUUCAAGGCUGUGCUGGAAUGUGCUUCAUAACACACAUGUAUUAAAUAUAACCAGCCACAGACACACACACAUAGACAAGACAAGUACAGUUUGUGCAACUGCUUGCUCACCCUAUCCUUCAGAGUUGCACAACCUUGUAGAUAGGGAAUGCCCAAAUAAAAGAGAGAGCUCGGAGAGCGUAUUCAGAGCGGUGUGGGAAUGUAACUGGUGCGUUCCUCCGUUCUCCUCGCGAGUAAAAAGA